rnacentral:tRNA from 1 species
CAGGGAGACAACAAAAUGUUUAAUAUUAUUAUUUUGUCACCUUAGGUCGAUCGGUACCUCACUUUCUUGGUUUAUUAAGAAUUUCAUUUCCUAAGUUUUUCUAGGUCACACCCAUUAUUUUUCCUGGGCCAUUAGCUCAGGUGGUUAGAGCGCACCCCUGAUAAGGGUGAGGUCCCUGGUUCAAGUCCAGGAUGGCCCAUAUCUCUAUGUUGGGGGUAUAGCUCAGUUGGUAGAGCGCCUGCUUUGCAAGCAGGAUGUCAGCGGUUCGAGUCCGCUUACCUCCACUGAUUACCACCUCUUCCAUAAUUGGUAGAAAGGAAAUGUUUUGAGUUGUGAUCAAAUUCUGAACGAAUCUAGCUUCCUAAUUUAAUUAUUAAGAUGCUGGACUCAUUGAAUUAAAUUCAUUGUUUUCAGAGAACCUUGACAACUGCAUAGAUUAUUUUUAAAGACAAUAAGCAUCUUUAAUGAUGCAGAUUUAUUAUUUGUGCGAAUGCAUUAAUAACAAUUCUAUUAAGCUGAUGCUUCAAUUUUUGAAGUUAUU